GACGAACGCUGGCGGCGUGCUUAACACAUGCAAGUCGAGCGGUAAGGCCUUUCGGGGUACACGAGCGGCGAACGGGUGAGUAACACGUGGGUGAUCUGCCCUGCACUUCGGGAUAAGCCUGGGAAACUGGGUCUAAUACCGGAUAUGACCUCCUAUCGCAUGGUGGGUGGUGGAAAGAUUUAUCGGUGCAGGAUGGGCCCGCGGCCUAUCAGCUUGUUGGUGGGGUAAUGGCCUACCAAGGCGACGACGGGUAGCCGACCUGAGAGGGUGACCGGCCACACUGGGACUGAGACACGGCCCAG
rnacentral:rRNA from 2 species